CAACACACUUCAGAACACGUGGMUCCUCUCAGGGACCGCAUUGUAAUUUGCAGAGGAUGCUUCGGGUGCGGCCCCUGUCUAAGUGCCCUGGAACGGGCCGUCAGAGAGGGUGAGAAUCCCGUCUGGGAUGGGGUGUCCGCGCCCGUGUGAAGCUCCUUCGACGAGUCGAGUUGUUUGGGAAUGCAGCUCUAAAUGGGUGGUAAAUUUCAUCUAAAGCUAAAUACUGGCCGGAGACCGAUAGCGAACAAGA
rnacentral:rRNA from 1 species